AGUCGAACGGAGAUAAAGAUUUCGGUUUUUAUCUUAGUGGCGCACGGGUGAGUAACACGUGAAUAACCUGACCCAAAGAGGGGGAUAACACCUGGAAACAGGUGCUAAUACCGCAUAAGACCACAAUGUCGCAUGACGAAGGGGUCAAAGAAAAUCGCUUUGGGAGGGGUUCGCGUCCCAUUAGGUAGUAGGCGGGGUAACAGCCCACCUAGCCGACGAUGGGUAGCCGAGCUGAGAGGCUGAUCGGCCACACUGGAACUGAGACACGGUCCAGACUCCUACGGGAGGCAGCAGUGGGGAAUAUUGGGCAAUGGGCGCAAGCCUGACCCAGCAACGCCGCGUGAGGGAAGAAGGUUUUCGGAUUGUAAACCUCUGUCGCAGAAGACGAAGGAAGUGACGGUAUUCUGUGAGGAAGCCCCGGCUAACUACGUGCCAGCAGCCGCGGUAAUACGUAGGGGGCGAGCGUUGUCCGGAAUUACUGGGCGUAAAGGGAGCGUAGGCGGUCUGAUAAGUUGGAUGUGAAAUACCCGGGCUUAACUUGGGGGGUGCAUCCAAUACUGUUGGACUAGAGUACAGGAGAGGAAAGCGGAAUUCCUAGUGUAGCGGUGAAAUGCAUAGAUAUUAGGAGGAACAUCGGUGGCGAAGGCGGCUUUCUGGACUGCAACUGACGCUGAGGCUCGAAAGCGUGGGGAGCAAACAGGAUUAGAUACCCUGGUAGUCCACGCUGUAAACGAUGAAUACUAGGUGUAGGGGGUAUAAACUCCCUCUGUGCCGCAGCGAACGCAAUAAGUAUUCCGCCUGGGGAGUACGGCCGCA
rnacentral:rRNA from 1 species